rnacentral:rRNA from 1 species
CAGCAGCCGCGGGAAUACGAAGGGGGCUAGCGUUGUUCGGAAUUACUGGGCGUAAAGCGCACGUAGGCGGAUAUUUAAGUCAGGGGUGAAAUCCCAGAGCUCAACUCUGGAACUGCCUUUGAUACUGGGUAUCUUGAGUAUGGGAGAGGUGAGUGGAAUUCCGAGUGUAGAGGUGAAAUUCGUAGAUAUUCGGAGGAACACCAGUGGCGAAGGCGGCUCACUGGUCCAUUACUGACGCUGAGGUGCGAAAGCGUGGGGAGCAAACAGGAUUAGAUACCCCUGUAGUCCCUGUCUCUUAUCC